ACGCCUACAGUGCGCUCCCCCUCACUCCUUUUCCUCGGAGUGCCCGGCCCCGGCCCCCUUCUGCCCCUUUCCCCGGCAGGGUGAUACUUUGUCAAGCCGUAAUCCAACCCUGCUAAACCCGCGGGUAGAGCUGAAGCGCUGCGAUGAAUCUCGGCAGACUCAUUCCUCUCCUCGAGAGCUUGCUGCCCUUAGAAAUGACUUCAGCGCGCUUUUGCAAGUGUAAAGGGAAAUCAAGAUCCCCUCUUCAUGUCUCUUGAUCUUCACCAGACUAGAAGAACCUGUAGUUCUUAGAGCUGCAGUGGAAAGUGACCUGUUGUGUUUGUGGAAGCUCUGGAAUCCUGCAGGAGAAGGAUCACUCAGCACCGUGGCAAUCUGCCAAGUACAACUUGUUCUGAAACACAGUGGCUCUGAGAAGUUGCAUUAUCAACUGAAACACAAUGUCAGCUUAGCAGGAGGUUGCUGGCUGACCCUUCUACACAGAGGUGGGGGUGGGGAACAACAUCAGUCUAGACAGAAGAGGACAACAACUAGCUGUCCACUCAGGCUGCAGAUUAGAGGACAUAACUGUGCGCUGAUACCACAACUCCAUUUUUGCACAGCGAUACAACAUACUGCUGAAGCAUUGGGAUUUCAGUCUAAAAUUUUGAGAUAAACGGACAAGUGCAAGCAGAACUACAUAAUAAACUUAAAAGCUUCUCUUCGACACAUUGCUUCACUGAAUAGUGUCCAGUGCUAAGGAAGGGAGAGGACAGGCAUAGAGAACCUUCAAAUGAUCUACCUCCCAAACUUGCAGGGAAGAGUCUGCAGUGAAUCCUGCUGGAGAAGUGUUCUUCUGAUUAACUGACACUAACGAAACUAUCAUGAUCGCACUUUCUAAAGUAUUUGUGAGUGAGAAAAGUGUAAUCAGUAGAGAAAAAUCCUAUCCUGGUAGAAGGAAGGCUUGUGAUCUAAUUAGCUACUUCAGUUUCUAAUAUUUCUGAUUUCAUUCUUUAUACAAUAUUUCUUUUGUUGAAGCAGCCAUAGAUAAAUGAGUUAAAAAAAAAUCUUUUCCUCAGAUCCCUAUUUUAGUGUGUUUGAAAGAUACAGGGAACUUUGCAGUCUGCCAGCAAUUAGGUCUGUUUCUCUUCCAGCUUUCACAGUGAGUAAAUGAAGAGGUGAUGCUUUUAUAGACAUUUAUCUUAUUUCUAUUGUUUUGUUAAAAAAAAAUCUUUUCCUCAGAUCCCUAUUUUAGUGUGUUUGAAAGAUACAGGGAACUUUGCAGUCUGCCAGCAAUUAGGUCUGUUUCUCUUCCAGCUUUCACAGUGAGUAAAUGAAGAGGUGAUGCUUUUAUAGACAUUUAUCUUAUUUCUAUUGUUUUGUGCAGAUUGUACACAGUCUCUGUGAUAAACCAAAUAUAUUUCUCUCAGUCUGGUAGGAUUUACAGCAAUAGUUUCCUACAAAUUCAAUUCAUAGAAAAGAAGCGUGACACUCUACCUUUUUAGCUGCAUCAGUAUCAGUAUGAUCAAAAUAAACAUGAAAUGGAGAAUAGAGAUAUCA
rnacentral:lncRNA from 1 species